rnacentral:rRNA from 2 species
GAGUUUGAUCAUGGCUCAGAAUCAACGCUGGCGGCGUGCCUAACACAUGCAAGUCGAACGAGAAAGUGGUAGCAAUACCAUGAGUAAAGUGGCGCACGGGUGAGUAACACGUGACUAACCUACCCUGGAGUGGGGGAUAACCGAGGGAAACCUCAGCUAAUACCGCAUAAUACCCACGGGUCAAAGGAGCAAUUCGCUUCAGGAGGGGGUCGCGGCCGAUUAGUUAGUUGGCGGGGUAAUGGCCCACCAAGACUGUGAUCGGUAUCCGGCCUGAGAGGGCGCACGGACACACUGGAACUGAAACACGGUCCAGACUCCUACGGGAGGCAGCAGUGGGGAAUUUUGCGCAAUGGGGGAAACCCUGACGCAGCAACGCCGCGUGGAGGAUGAAGUACUUCGGUACGUAAACUCCUUUCGAUCGGGACGAUAAUGACGGUACCGAGAGAAGAAGCCCCGGCUAACUUCGUGCCAGCAGCCGCGGUAAUACG